CCAGUAAGCAGCAUCCCUCCACAGUCUCUGCAUCAGCUCCUGCCUCCAGGUUCCUACCCUGAUUUCCUUCAGUGAUGAACUGUAUAUGAAACUGUACAUCUUAACUAACCAGUGCCCAAUCUAAGAGCCAGACACGGUAAAGACCUAGAACGCAUUCAUCUCUGGAUGAAUUCACCUGUCACGAUCAUAAAUUCUUUCAUGAGCACCGGGGAUGAGACCUGAGGAAUCUACCCAGAAGCAGACAGUAGAGUCCUGGCAGACUUAUUCUUUGUUGUUAGCUGAUUGAAGAAUAAAGCUCUGAAGGACUGAAGGACGAAAGGUUCCCGCGACCAGGCUUCCUCAGCAAGCCUGGUCGCGGUCAUUUCCCGAUGAGCCAUCUUGUCAGCCGGUGUUUCUGUCUUGCCAGCUCCGAUGACUAACUCCAGAGUUUGCCUCUCGAAAAUCCUACAAGCGAUGGGAAUCUGCUCUCUGUGGCAUCCUUGAGCGGUGCCCAGAAUUUGCAGGGAGCCUCCUGUAUUGUCAGCUUACUGGCAGCCUUGUUUAUGUGGGAAGAUUCCCACAGCAGGAACAACGAGUCCCGAGCUGUGUCUCUCAAGCCCGUCAUGCUAUUGAUUUCCAUCAAAUUUGAAAGGUAUUCAUUACCUGUGAGUUGCCAGCAGAGGCAGAGCAUGAUGUUCAAGGACAACUCUUUAUUUUCCAUGAUUUGGGGUGUCUACUUGGAAAUCAGCCCUAGUGACCUGACGAAUAGCCAGUCACCUUUUACCUACAUGGAUCUAGAGGCUGCAGCUAAGUGUGGCA
rnacentral:lncRNA from 1 species